UACGGGGGGGAGCAAGCGUUGUUCGGAUUUACUGGGCGUAAAGGGCGCGUAGGCGGCGCAACAAGUCACUUGUGAAAUCUCCGGGCUUAACCCGGAGCGGUCAAGUGAUACUGUCGUGCUAGAGUGCGGAAGGGGCUACUGGAAUUCUCGGUGUAGCGGUGAAAUGGCGUAGAUAUCGAGAGGAACACCUGCGGCGAAGGCGGGUUGCUGGGCUGACACUGACGCUGAAGUGCGAAAGCUAGGGGAGCGAACGGG
rnacentral:rRNA from 1 species